GCCUCCGUAGCUCAAUGGAUAGAGCAGCGGCCUUCUAAUCCGCCGGUUUCCGGUUCGAGUCCGGACGGGGGCA
rnacentral:tRNA from 1 species